GUAGGAUAGACAAUAUGUUAUAUCAAGAAACAGAAGAUAUCACUACUCUAAAAGAAUAUAUUACCGUAAGAUUCAUAAGUAUACAAAAUGACAAUAUAUAUAUUACACUUAUUUGCUUUUGAAAUUAUUUUGAUAAUGAGGACAAUAGGUCUUAAAUAUGUGUAUUACCCUAAGGUUCAUGCAUGCACAGCAUGAAUAAAUGGAACUACCAUGAAGAUCCUAACUGAGAGCUUUUUAAGCAACAUGUGAAAAUUUUAAAACUACAUAGUAUAAUGGUUGGGUAAUCAUAAAAAAAUUAAAAAGAUACUGGAAAUGUAACACACAAAAAUGCGGUGACAGAAUCCUACAUUGCCAGUUUAGAAGGGUUACUGGAUAACAUAUAUAAAAGCCCUUAACAAUAUGAAGCUUAUUGGGAGGAUCCAAAAACAAAACUGUUUAUAACUAGGACCAAUGUAAACCAUAUUAUACUGUGAGGGAGCAGGCUGUUACAAAUGGCAUCAUAUUGGGACCUCUCUAGCACUAAAGGCACACGCGGAACAAGAGAUCCUUGGGGCCUAUCGUACAUGAGGUCACGUCUUGGGUAGAUUGUAACACCCAAUGAUGAGAUGUCAAAAUCCCAAAUCAUCAAGUUAGAAACUAAGGGCUACUGAGCUAUAUAUGUAGAGCUCCAUCUCAAACAUCACGUCAUUUUGUGUGGAUCCAAAAGCAAAAGUUUCUGGGCCUAGGCCUAAAGCAAACAAUAUCAAUGUCAUACCAUAUGGGAGCAAGCUACUACAGAGAUACUUCUUUGCUCUGCAAAAAUUGUCAGUGUACGUAUAUUUCUAAUCUAAAUACAAUAUUCAACCUCCAAAUAACGGGGUUAUUUUAUUAUUAGUACAAUUUUUAAUUAAUGUUAAACAUAUUUGUAAUCUAAGUACAAUAAUCAAUCUCCCAAAUAAAACAAAAAGUUACCUUUUGAUAUUGCAAUUUUCAAUUAUUGUUUUGACAUCAAAACUAAACAAUGUUACAUUUUACUAACUUUUCCCAAUAACAUCAAGUUCAAACCAAACCCAACAUCCAAUAAA
rnacentral:lncRNA from 1 species